AUAAUGGGUCAGCGACUUAUAUUCUGUAGCAAGGUUAACCGAAUAGGGGAGCCGAAGGGAAACCGAGUCUUAACUGGGCGUUAAGUUGCAGGGUAUAGACCCGAAACCCGGUGAUCUAGCCAUGGGCAGGUUGAAGGUUGGGUAACACUAACUGGAGGACCGAACCGACUAAUGUUGAAAAAUUAGCGGAUGACUUGUGGCUGGGGGUGAAAGGCCAAUCAAACCGGGAGAUAGCUGGUUCUCCCCGAAAGCUAUUUAGGUAGCGCCUCGUGAAUUCAUCUCCGGGGGUAGAGCACUGUUUCGGCAAGGGGGUCAUCCCGACUUACCAACCCGAUGCAAACUGCGAAUACCGGAGAAUGUUAUCACGGGAGACACACGGCGGGUGCUAACGUCCGUCGUGAAGAGGGAAACAACCCAGACCGCCAGCUAAGGUCCCAAAGUCAUGGUUAAGUGGGAAACGAUGUGGGAAGGCCCAGACAGCCAGGAUGUUGGCUUAGAAGCAGCCAUCAUUUAAAGAAAGCGUAAUAGCUCACUGGUCGAGUCGGCCUGCGCGGAAGAUGUAACGGGGCUAAACCAUGCACCGAAGCUGCGGCAGCGACGCUGAUGCGUUGUUGGGUAGGGGAGCGUUCUG
rnacentral:rRNA from 1 species